GGUUCAGAGAUAGUUUAAAAGGUGAAAUUGGUAUAUUUUUCCCCAUCAUCGUCUUAAGAUCAUUAGACAGCUCCGAGUGUCCCAAUGACCAAAAGAUGGGUGUUCUUAGGAUGCUUGAGAAAGUCUGUAAAGAUCCUCAG